CCUACGGGAGGCAGCAGUGGGGAAUAUUGGACAAUGGGCGAAAGCCUGAUCCAGCAAUGCCGCGUGAGUGAUGAAGGCCUUAGGGUUGUAAAGCUCUUUUACCAGGGAUGAUAACGACAGUACCUGGAGAAUAAGCUCCGGCUAACUCCGUGCCAGCAGCCGCGGUAAUACGGAGGGAGCUAGCGUUGUUCGGAAUUACUGGGCGUAAAGCGUACGUAGGCGGUUAUUCAAGUCAGAGGUGAAAGCCUGGAGCUCAACUCCAGAACUGCCUUUGAAACUAGAUAGCUAGAAUCUUGGAGAGGUGAGUGGAAUUCCGAGUGUAGAGGUGAAAUUCGUAGAUAUUCGGAAGAACACCAGUGGCGAAGGCGACUCGCUGGACAAGUAUUGACGCUGAGGUACGAAAGCGUGGGGAGCAAACAGGAUUAGAUACCCUGGUAGUCCACGCCGUAAACGAUGAUAACUAGCUGUUCGGGCUCUACGAGCUUGAGUGGCGCAGCUAACGCAUUAAGUUAUCCGCCUGGGGAGUACGGUCGCAAGAUUAAAACUCAAAGGAAUUGACGG
rnacentral:rRNA from 1 species